AAGGGGUCAAGAUCCCAAAGGACUACCCUCACAAAAAAGGGCAAGCCCUGGGGUAGUCUGUUUGCAAAGCUGUACUUGUUUUUGCUGAAAACAAGUGUGCUUCUGUUACCUAUUUUUUUUACUUCCCAGUGGGGUGGGGAGGGUGGGGGGGUAGGGGGGGAGAAAGUCAAAACACAUGUCACCCAAUCAUUUUUCAGGAAAAGCACAGAAGGAGCAUACAACCAGCAAAACUGACAAGUACAAAAUCCAUCAGGCAUCUUGCAGGAAUGUGUGCAGUCAGCUCCCGGGAAGAACUGACGGCUCCCUGAAUUCUUGGGCUGGAUUUGGUGAGCACUAAAAGGAACCGGAUUCGUUAAACGCUGGUAGAAGUGUUUUCCAAUGGCUGCAACGGUUGGUCAACCUAACUUACGGAGAAGAGCCCAGACAGAGGUAGUCCAACUCUCAGAGGUCUCAGCUGCACUCCCAGCUCUUUACCUUGCCCUGGGGCAAGGCACUAACCUCUACUAAGCCUCACUCUCCUCAUCUGUCAAAUGGGGAUAAUAACACCCACAGACCACCCUGCGAUAUUCGCUGAGGAACUCUUACGGCUGGAAAUGAGAGUUGACUGCAGCAGCCCCCCCCAGCUGGUCCCCUGCCUGGUCACCGUGCCCUCUUUGAAGACACUCUGCACAGUGGGUGUGGAUGCCGACCCUGGAGACAGGUAGCUUGUGUCAGAUUUGGCUCUGCUUCUUUGCCGUAGCUGUGUACUCCUAGACAUUCUGGUGUGGAGCCACUUUAUGCCAGGCACCGGGCCAGGUGCUGAGAGUACAUCAAUAAAUCAAGACAUCAUAACACACAGUCUUGACGGCUAAACAGAUGAAGAAGUAAAAAAUAUGUAAAUCAAGACAUCAGAACGCAUAGUCUCGGUGGCUAAACAGAUGAAGAAGCAAAAAAUGUGUAAUCUGGUUUGAAAAGUGGUGUGUGCUGCAGGUAGUGACAGCUCUUUAAAGGGGUGCAUGUUAAUUGGAUCUGCGAAAUGGAGGCCACAGAGUUGAGCUUGCCCUGCGGCUGUGAGCUCCGAUCAGUCUUCCUAAGAAGGGAGGGCCCUCCAGCUCCUCCCAUCACAUGGGAAACACGAUGAGCUGCUCCCAAAAGAAAUCAGAGAGGCAGACAAACUCACAGGGGACUAACUACAGAUGGGGUGGCUUCAACAGACGAUUAUCCUCACACAUUCUGGAAGCUGAAGUCCGAGAUCAUGGCGUGGAAAGGUUGGUUUCUCUCUCCCUGGAUGGCCGACUUUUCCUUGUGUCCUCACAUGACUGUCCCUCUGUGCAUGUCUGUGUCCUAAUCUCCUCUUCUGAUAAGGACACCAGUCAUAUGGGAUAUGGGAUUAGGACCCACCCUAACAGGCUCAUUUGAAUUUAAUCACCUCUGUAAAGACCCCAUUUCUAAAUACAGUUGAUUUCCGGGGUACUGGGGGUUAGAACGUCAACAUCGGAAUUGGAGAAAGUGGGGGCACAGUUCAGGCCGUAACAGCCCACCUCGACGGCGUCCUUGGCCAUCUCUGGUGAGACUCAUGGGACUCCUCCCCCACCUUCAGCAUCAGCGCCUGGAUACCACAUUUCCAUUUUCCAGGCGAGACAGCUGACAAGGGUAAAGCAGAACCGCCAGGGAUGAGACUCAAAGAUCCCAGAAUACAUUUUACCCUAUCGAGACCCUCAUUUUAAAAAUGAAACUGAGGCCGGGCACGGUGGCUCACGCCUGUAAUCCCAGCACUUUGGGAGGCCGAGGUGGGCGGAUCACAAGAUCAGGAGAUUGAGACCAUCCUGGCUAACACGGUGAAACCCUGUCUCUACUAGAAAUACAAAAAAUUAGCCGAGUGUGGUGGCGGGCACCUGUAGUCCCAGCUACUCAAGAGGCUGAGACAGGAGAAUGGCGUGAACCCAGGAGGCAGAGCUUGCAGUGAGCUGAGAUUGUGCCACUGCACUCCAACCUGGGUGAGGAGCCAGACUCCGUCUCAAAAAAAAAGAAAAAAAAAAGAAAGACACUGAGGAGGCCGGGUGCAGGGGCUCAACGCCUGUAAUCCCAACUCUUCCAGAGGCCGAGGUGGGUGGAUCACCUGAGGUCAGGAAUUCAAGACCAGCCUGGCCAACAUGGUGGAAGCCCAUCUCUACUAAAAAUACAAAAAAUUAGCCAGGCAUGGUAGCACACGCCUGUAGUCCCAGCUACUCGGGAGACUGAGGCAAGAGAAUUGCUGGAAUCUGGGAGGCAGAGGUUGCAGUGAGCCGAGAUCACACCACUGCACUCUUGCCUGGGCGACAGAGCAAGAUUCUAUCUCAAAAAAAUAAUAAUAAUAAAAAUAAAACCGAGAACACCCCAGUUGGGAGUAGUUUCUUGGGCUAAAUGAUCCCCCCACACACACUUUUUCAGUUUGAGAGCAGUCACUGUUUAUUAAAUGACCAGAUUACAAAAAUAAUCAUGGCAAACCUGUCUCUACUAAAAAUACAAAAAUCAGCCGGGCGUGGUGGCAGAUGCCUAUAAUCCCAGCUACUCGGGAGGGUGAGGCAGGAGAAUCGCUUGAAUCCAGAGGCAGAGGUUGCAGUGAGCUGAGAUUGCACCAUCCCACUCCAGCCUGGGGGACAAGAGCGAGACUUCGUCUCAAAAAUAAUAACAAUAAUAAUCAUGGCAGACACUUUAAUUCACCCGUCUGAUAAGCCUGCUGAUCUGGCCUUCCCUGUUGACAGCAGCUCCACCUUCUGUAACAUGGAUGGGCUUUUUCUUCAUCCACCUCGUGAAAAGGAUAAUUUGAAGGGCCAUGAUGGGAGAUUACUUGCUCCUUUUUGGUUUUUUUUGUUUGUUUUUUGAGAUGGAGCCUUGCUCUGUCACCCAGUCUGGAGUGCAGUAGUGCGAUCUCAGCUCACUGCAACUUCCGCCUCCCAGGUUCAAGUGAUUCUCCUGCCUCAGCCUCUCGAGUAGCUGGGAUUACAGGCACCCACCACCACACCUGGCUAAUUUUUGUAUUUUUUGUAGAGAUGGGGUUUCAUCAUGUUGGCCAAGCUGGUCUUGAACUCCUGACCUCAGGUGAUCCACCCACCUCAGCCUCCCAGAGUGCUGGGAUUACAGGCAUGAGCCACUGCGCCCAGCCUUUAUUUGCUUCCUUGAAGCGUUUUCCAAUGAUAUAGAUCUCACGAAUCAGAUUCUCUGCAGAUGAUGCCAUAUUUCCCGAGAGACCGAGCAAUCGCAGUGUUAUCUGUCAGGGUAAAUCCCUAUUUUCACAUGAUAUUUUUCACUGUCAUGCCUUAAAGAUUACUGGAGAGUCAUUCCCUUACGCCAUAUGUGUCAUUUUUGUUGUUGUUUUGAGGCAGAGUCUUGCUCUGUCACCCGGGCUGGUGUGCAGUGGUGCAAUGAUGGCUCACUGCAGCCUUGAACUCCUGGGCUCAAGCAAUCCUCCCAUCUCAGCCUCCCAAGUAGCUGGGACCAGGGGCACAUGCCACCGCACCCAGCUAAUUUUUGUAUUUUUAGUGGAAACGGGGUUUCACCCUGUUGCCCAGGCUGGUCUCAAACUCCUGGGCUCAAGCGAUGCACCUGUCUCGGCCUCCCAAAGUGCUGGGGUUACAGGCGUGAGCCACUGCGCCCGGCUGGAGUUGUAGGUUGUUAGCCACAGUUUGCUUUCACAUGUAGCGGGUAUCGGGUUCUUGAUCCUGGCUGUUGUCUUUCCACGGCCUUGUGUUCACACUGUGUUCGGAAAGGAAGCUGUGGUCUUACAGGUCUUCACACAUCAGUGCUUUAUGUGCGCCUUACAGAUCUUCACGGAUCUGUGCUUUAUGUUGCAGGAGGUCAGUAGGUUUAGGUUGGUUGGGUCUCUUCAAAUGUGAAAAGUCCCCACAUAUCAGCCAGGCACAGGGGCUCACACCUGUAAUUCCAGCAUUUUGGGAGGCUGAGGCAGGCAGAUCACCUGAGGUGAAGAGUUUGAGAUCAGCCUGGCUAAUAUGGUGAAACUCCAUCUCUACUAAAAAUACAAAAAUUAGCUGGGCUUGCUGGCGGGCACCUGUAAUCCCACCUACUCGGGAGGCUGAGGUUGGGGAAUCGCUUGAACGCCGGAGGCAGAGAUUGCAGUGAGCGGAGAUUGUGCCAUUGUACUCCAGCCUGGGCGACACAGUGAAACUAUGUCUCAAAAAAAAAAAAAAAAACAGAAAAAGUCACCACAUAUCAAGGAAACGUGUCCCAUGAAUGGGGCCUUAAGAGCCUGCUCUUUCAUGCUGCAUGAGUCCCCUGGCCCCCAGCCCGCCCUCCUCAUCUCCCCUCAACCCAACGGCCUAGGACCCCACUGAUGCCUCAGGGCCUGGAAGCCUCUCCCGCCACACCUUCUCCUGGUCCUGGGAUGGCGAAAUGACUGCUCACAAUGUGGCCAGGAUGGAUGGAGGACAUCAUAUUGUUCCUCUAGCCCAGUAUUCUGAGAACCCGCUGGCUGUGAUUCAGAAUAAAGGAGAAAUGAGGCCUGUUUCUUGGGCAGUGGAGGUGGGGAUUUUUUUUUCUUUUUAAUUUGGAUUGAAGUUUUUAGCUGUGAGUAAUGGUUGGCUUGUGCCAGAGAAGGCGGCACCUGUGCACAAGGAUGGAGCCCAGAAGGCCUGAGCCUGGGGUUUAGGAGCCGCUGGGAGAGGCGGAGCUGCAGAAAGGAGCCACGGAGCUCCUGGGAGAGUGGGGCCCGCGUCGUCUCAAGCCAGCAGCCAACACCACCCCCGAGAUGGCUCCAGCUGGGACACAAAAGGAACCCAUGGUUGUGCCGGGAAGUGUUGCCACAGCAGAUUUCCAAGAACUGAUUCUCAAAGAGAAGCCAGGCAGGGCUCCCAGCCCUGGCUCUGGGAACGCACAGACUGGGGGCUCCUAAACCCCUGAGCGCCACAGCCUCCCCGGGGAAGCCGGACCCUGUUAGCUCGUUGCACUCGAUGGCUCCAGGCUUUUCACAUGGGCGGAAUGGAAUGAACACGUGUGGGAAUCAUGACGAGGAUUCCCAAGCCGCUUCCCAACAUGGUAAAGUUGUAGGGUAGAACAUUCCCACUGCAGACAAAGGCGUUCCUCACCCAAGCCUGAGCACACAGAUGGUUAGAAAUAGCCCAGGGCCACGUGGUGGGGGGGGGGGGGGGGCGCCUGUAGUCCCAGGAGACCAGGCAGGAGAAUCGCUUGAACCUGGGAGGUGGAGAUUGCAGUGAGCCGAGAUCAUGCCACUGCACUCCAGCCCGGGCAGCAGAGGGAGAUUCCAUCUCAAAAAAAAAAAAAAGAAAGAAAGAAAAAAAAGAAAAAAGAAAGAAAAAAAGUAGCUCAGGGCCGAAGUAGAGUGGGAGAAGGGCCCAAGGGCAGGGGUGGCCUUGGGGUCAGGAGGCAGGACUUUCAUCGUACUGCAAGCAGGGCCAGAGAGGCAGUCUAUCCACGUGCCUCCAUCUGUGUGUACUCCUGUCUCGGUCUCCAGCACGAAGCAGGUGCUUGGCCAUCAUUUUGGGGAAACUACUGCCCAUGGGGGCCUCCUAGGUUCCCAGCCAAGGUGUCUGAGCAGCUGUUUGCUUUGUGCUCUCGGCUCUAUAGGCCAAGCAGGCUAAAUCCACUUGAACUACAGUAAUUCCUUCCUCCUGUGCUGGCUGGACACCUCACUGUGACACAGCACACCCUGCGGUCUCCUUUGGACUAGGCAAAGAAGGGUCCAGAUCACCGCACAGGACCUUGUUCAUUUAGGUGACAAUGAUCUCUUGAGGGUCUACAAAGGAAGAACUGGGAAGGCAGUAUCUGGGGAGAACGUGAGCCUUAAACACAAACGACACCCAUGAUUUCCUUCAUUACUAGGUGAGACGUGCCCCACAGAACAAGGACAGGGUGCAAGGAGAGCUGACAACUGGGGCGAACCACACUGCAAGCACUGAGCUAGUCUGAUGGGGGAGGGCGGUGGGCAAGUGGGCUCUGUGAUGGCAGCGCAAGAGGGAAGACCCGGCCCCCACUCUCAUUCUUAGCUGCAUCCUGGCAAACUCAGGCCAUAGUCCAGAGGCCCCUUUCCUCCAUCCUACUGAGCAGCCAGUGGGGUUGGAGGGGGCAUGAGAUGUGGCCCCUGCCCCAAGACAGAGACAAUAACACAAACAUCUUCACACCACAGGGGGCCCUAAAUUUUUGAUCAAGCACUUUGACCACUAAGUAAAUUUUGAGUGCCUUCCUGUAAGUAGUAGGUGAAUAGUGGCCCUCAAAAAGAUAUGUUCAUGUCCCAACCUUUGGUACCUGUGAAUACAACCUUGUGUACAAUAAGGGUCUUUGGCCGGGCACGGUGGCUCACACCUGUAAUCCCAGCACUUUGAGAGGCCGAGGUGGGUGGAUCACCUGAAGUCAGGAGUUUGAGACCAGCCUGAUCAAUAUGGUGAAACCCUGUCUCUACUAAAAAUACAAAAAAAUUAGCCAGGCAUGGUGGCAUGCACCUGCAGUCUCAGCUACUAGGAAGGCUGAGACAGGAGAAUUGCUUGAACCUGGGAGUUGGAGGUUGCAGUGAGCCGAGAUUGCACCACCGCACUCCAGCUUGGGUGACAGAGCGAGACUCCGUUUCAAAAACAAACAAACAAACAAACAAAAAUAAGGGUCUUUACAAAGGUAAUUGACUUAGAGAUCUCAAGAUGAAAGCAUCCUGGAUUUAGGGUGACCCUAAAUACAAUGACUGUGUCCUUAUCAGAAGAAGAAAGGACGCAGAGGCCAGGUGCAGUGGCUCACACCUGUAAUCCCAGCACCUUGGGAGGCUGAGGCGGGUGGAUCACCUGAGAUCAGGAGUUUGAGACAAGCCUGACCAAUAUGGUGAAACCCCAUCUCUACCAAAAAUACAAAAAUUAGCUGGGCAUAAUGACAUGUGCCUGUAAUCCCAGUUACUCGAGAGGCUGAGACAGGAGAAUUGGUUGAACCGAGGAGAUGGAGGUUGCAGUGAGCCGAGAUCAUGACACUACACUCCAGCCUGGGCAACAGAGUGAGACUCCAUCUCAAAAAGGAAAAAAAAAGAAGGAGAAGAAGAGACACAGACACAGAGACACACAGGGACGAGGCCAUGAGAGACAGAAGCAGAGACUGUAGGGGUGCGGCCAUGCACCGGGGCACACUGAGGGGUGCCAGCAGCCCCUAGAAGCUGGGAGAAGCCUGGAAAAGAUAUGCCCUCAGAGCCUCCGGAAGGAACCCACCCUGCGGACACCUUGACUUCAGACUUCCAGCCUCCAGAACUGGGAGGAUAAAUCUCUGUUGUUUAAGCUACUCAGUCUGUGGUCAUUUAUUACGGCAGCCCCAGGGAAUGAACACACUGUUUGUUUAUUUGUUUGUUUGUUUGUUUUUUAGACAAUGUCUUGCUCUGUUGCCCAGGUUGGGUGCGGUGGCACAAUCAUGGCUCACUGCAGCCUCGACUUUCCAGGCUCCAGCGAUCCUCCCACCUCAGCCUUCCAAGUAGCUGAGACUACAGGCGUGCACCACCAUGCCUGGCUUGUUUUUGCAUUUUUUUGUAGAGACGAUGUCUCACCAUGUUGCCCAGGCUGGUCUUGAACUCCUGAGCUCAAGCAAUCCUCCCACCUUAGCCUCCCAUAGUGCUGGGAUUACAGGCGUGAACCACCGUGCCUGGCCAGGAAAUGAACACACUCUCAUACAAAUUUAUGCAUUUCUACAUUGAGUAGUCCAUGGUAAUAUCCUAUGUACACUAUGAAACCACAAAGCAGUUGGCAGAAAGCAAGAGGUGCAUGGGGCAAGGGGAAGAUACAAGUAAACUUCAGAGUUGUCCUGGGUACCUAGGGGCCGAAUGGUGGUGACGCAGCCAUCAGGAGCAACAGGAGGAUGGUUGGUCCCAGCAUGUUUUAUUUCUUAAGUGGACGGUGGUGCGUGGGUGUCCACGUUAUGUGAUCAUUAUUUUCAUCUUGCAAAACACCACCUCUGUUGUUGGCAAAUGAAUGAAAUCGUUCAUAAUAAAAGGUUUUUAAAAAGGGCACAAGAUUUGAGUCCAGGCAUUGAGCUCACUGUCUGCCUGUGCUGGCCUAUGGCUGAGGCAGGUCUCCAAAGUUCUCCAAGCCUCAGUUUCCUCAAUGAGCAAGCAGGGCCCGUGAUGGUGCCUCCUUUCAGCACUGGAGAAAUCAGUACCCAGGCAGGUGGGCACAUGUGAUCAGUCCGUGAGCAUCCAAGCACGUAGCUGGUCUCUAUAGCAGCUCAGUUCCUUUCCAUUAAGAGAGAAGAAUGGCUCUUUUGGCCAUAUAACCUGAUACCUUCUUAUGACAUGGCUUAUACCUUUGUGUAAAUAACUUAAACCCAGAAGGGGCUGGAAUCCUCAUAAUGCUGCUGUCUCCAUCCCUGUGGGUGGCUGAAAAACAGAUUCUCUUAGCCCCUGGCCUGUUUCUUUGCCCCUGGCCUAUUUCUCACUCUAAUAUGAACACCAGGAACUGAUAGGUGAGAAGUGCUCUCACUGCUCCCAGACACUGGAUGCUUUUCUUGCUGUGUUUUCUGUGAAUAUUUCCAAAUAAUUGGCCAGCGUCUGCAGGAUGGCAGAGGCAGCUGUGAGGAGGCCCUCAGCCUUAGUUCAUCAAGCCACCCCGGCAUCAAGAACACCUCCCUACGGCACUGCUCCCCAACUUCCAACACACCUGGGGUAAAGUCUACAGUUCACUCCACUCUUACUGGCCUUCUCUGUGGCCCUCAGAUCUGCCACACUGGUUCCUGCCCCAGGGCCCUUGUACUCAUUUCUCUCCCUGCCCAGGACACUCUGAGCCAGCCCUUCACGAGGCUGACAUCCUGCAGCCACUCAGCUCUUGGGCCAUGAAGUCACCUCUUCCAGGAGGUCAUCCUGCCAAGGAGCCCUGUCCUCUGGCUUGGCACUGUUUCUGCUCCCUGCACUGUUUGCUCACUGCUGGCCUCGGUCCCUCUUGGGGAGGGAAGCCAGGAGCCUCAGGCAUGAGGAGAUGAGCCUGGCUCUGGGAGGGGAAGGAGAGGAAAAUGACCAGGCCACCUGCCGAUUCAACCGUGGCAAACCUGUGCUGUUUUGUAAUACCAGGUGCUGAGGACACAGGGUGGGCAACGAGACACAGGUUCUGCCCUGCAGGAAGCUAAAUUCCAUGGUGAAAAAAACAGAAGGCAGGGGGCACGGUGUUCUGGCAGCAUGGGGGAAGUAGGGAGGUUUUCUUGGAAGCAGCGACUUUGAAGGUGAAACAGCAAGGAUGAGUAAGAGCUUGUCAUGUGAGCAGAGUGGGGAGAGGGCCCCUGGCAGAGGACAAGCAAGCAUGAAAGCCGGCAGGCACACGGUGUCCACUGAGGCUGGGGUCUCAUACAAUUUGGCUCUGGGUCCCUACCAAAAUCUCGUGUCAAAUUGUAAUCCCCAUGGGUCAAGGGAGGGACCUGGUGGGAAGUGAUUGGAUCAUGGGGUGGAUUUCCCCCUUGCUGUUCUCAUGAUAGUGCAUGAGUUCUCACGAGAUCUGAUGGUUUGCAAGUGUGUGGCACUUCCCCCUUUGCCCUCUCUCUCUCCUGCCACCUUGCAAAGAUGUGCCUGCUUCCCCUUCACCUUCCACCAUGACUGUAAGUUUCC
rnacentral:lncRNA from 10 species